AUGAACGCUGGCGGCAUGCUUAACACCUGCCAGUCGAACGGGAAGUGGUGUUUCCAGUGGCGAACGGGUGAGUAACGCGUAAGAACCUGCCCUUGGGAGGGGAACAACAACUGGAAACGGUUGCUAAUACCCCGUAGGCUGAGGAGCAAAAGGAGAAAUCCGCCCAAGGAGGGGCUCGCGUCUGAUUAGCUAGUUGGUGAGGUAAUAGCUUACCAAGGCGAUGAUCAGUAGCUGGUCCGAGAGGAUGAUCAGCCACACUGGGACUGAGACACGGCCCAGACUCCUACGGGAGGCAGCAGUGGGGAAUUUUCCGCAAUGGGCGAAAGCCUGACGGAGCAAUGCCGCGUGGAGGUGGAAGGCCUACGGGUCGUCAACUUCUUUUCUCGGAGAAGAAACAAUGACGGUAUCUGAGGAAUAAGCAUCGGCUAACUCUGUG
rnacentral:rRNA from 1 species